GAGAAGUCAUAAUAAAAGGAAAGACCUCAAGGAUAUCACGCCAUGGAUGUUUAUUGAUAGCAAGCAAUGGUAGGUAUGAUAUGCCAACAUUCAUCAUGUAGCCUCUGGAGGAAUGUCAACAUUAUAAAAUGUACCGGCUGAAGCGGAGUACCCACAGGUGGCUUCUGGGUGUCGGCAGUCAUGUGACCAUCAGUUCUGGUAGUGUUAUCUGAUGCGGUAGCGUUCCAGGCUGCAGUUCUAUAUAAUGCUGUGAAGAGGACAUGUGUGGAUGUGCAUGGGAAAAGUGUCCUGUUGAUGUAACCUUAUGCAUGUUGUGAAUUCAAAAUCUAACAAGCGUGGCUAAGCUCUAGAAAUGCCAAGUCUGAUACACUGGCGCGGACACUGCCCAUGUGUCACUGCCCUCACGAUCGGAUUGAACUUGUUUAUUUUGAUUAUUUUAUUUUCCCUGAGCUUGGAGUUUUCCUUUAAGGAGUACCAGUGUGGAGGCUGCUUAUCCAAAAGAAGGAGACUAAUGUUGACACAGCAAACAAGUUAUGAAGCAUUCUGUGUGACUCAUCUAUUCUAAUUCUGACUCAUAGACUCCCAGGCAGAACUUGCAAGGACGACAUUUAUUAAACUGGUUUAACAUUAAUAACUACUGAAGAAUAACAGUAGAGUGUUUGUAACAGUUACAAAUGAAUUGCUGAAACCGUUAUGGGUAAAACAAGCUCUGGUAUCAUUGUUCAUUGUAUCAACACAAUACAGUGAUGCUAUCAACAACUGAGAUACAUAAUUCCAUCCUGUGCAAGGUUUCUGUAUUCUCAGCCACUGCAUUUCAUGCAGAAUAUGACUCCUAAUAGACUACCUCAGUACUUUUUCCCUUUGGAGUCUAAUAUAUAUAUUUUUACUGAUACAUGUCAUGUUAGACUUUGAACAAUAUCUGUCUAGUUUCUAAAUAUAAAUUGUAUAUUAUUGAGGCUUUAGUGGUCCUUGUCUGCAUUAAGCUAAAAUGUUAAAAUUCCAUAAAUAGCAUUAAACAGUGUAUGAACCAAUGAAUACUCUGAAAAAAGUUUUCAGCCUAGGCUGUCAAGGCUGCAGCCCUGAGGCUCCACUGUCCAAGUUCUACUCCAGGGGUACAUGCAGGAUUUCUAGAAGAGUUUUCCCAAAUGUGAGAUUUCAAAAGAAAGACAAAAAAAGAAGUAUUAUGAUAAGACAGCAAUAAUAACAUACAAUAAAACAGAAAGUAUCCUAAUGAACAAUGGGGGUCAUUCCGAGUUGAUCGCUAGUGAAAAAUGUUCGCAGCACAGCGAUUAAGUGAAAAACCAGCACUUCUGCGCAUGCGUAUGCGGCGCAGUGCACACGCACAAAGUACUUUCACAACGGCUGAUGUAUUUUUACACAAGGUCUAGCGUCGCUUUUCAGUCGCAAUGGCAGCCGCAGAGUGAUUGACAGGAAGAGGGCGUUUCUGGGUGUCAACUGACCGUUUUCAGGGAGUGUUUGAAAAAACGCAGGCAUGCCAGGAAAAACGCGGAACUGAAUGGUCUGAAGUGAUCGCAAGCGCUGAGUAGGUCUGGAGCUACUCUAAAACUGCACAAAAUUAUUUUGUAGCCGCUGUGCGAUCCUUUCAUUCGCACUUCUGCUAAGCUAAAAUACACUCCCAGUGGGAGGCGGCAUAGCGUUUGCACGGCUGCUUUAAACAGCUAGCAAACGAUCAACUUGGAAUGACCCCCAAUAUACAAUACAGAGAGCACGUCAGUAAUAGUCAUACACUACAGAGGACAACCCCAGUGCCAUCCAUUCAAUACAGAGAAAAUCUCAGUGACCACCACAUAGUAUAAUCCCAUAAUCAUGAAUUAGUCCUCCUCAUAAAUUAUUAAGGUCUUCAACAUUAUCAGAACACCAUUCAACAUUAUUAACCUAUUUAUAGUUAUUAGCAUGGCAGGAAGAGGACCUGAUGCCUGUAUUUUGUGAGUAAUGAAGUGGAGAAUGAGGGCUGUGUGGGGGAGUGGUUAUUUAA